rnacentral:rRNA from 1 species
UACGUAGGGGGCAAGCGUUGUCCGGAAUCAUUGGGCGUAAAGAGCGUGUAGGCGGCUCGAUAAGUCUGCUGUGAAAGUCCAGGGCUCAACCCUGGAAGGCCGGUGGAAACUGUCGGGCUAGAGUCCGGAAGAGGUGAGUGGAAUUCCCGGUGUAGCGGUGAAAUGCGCAGAUAUCGGGAGGAACACCAAUGGCGAAGGCAGCUCGCUGGGACGGUACUGACGCUCAGG